AAAGCAGUAAAUUGACUUGGAUGUUUUAAACAAAUGGAGCCUGCAAUUUAAAUGAGAUGAAUAAUUUGAAUUAACUUUUCAGGAUUACUCUUACUGAAAUAUACCCAAAGGUAAAACCAACAGAUGAAGAAUGUACCCUAUGCUUUUUUUUCAUUCCAUGAUUAGUGUUAAUAGAAAAGAUACCAGGAACUGACAUCUUUCCUUCUGUGUCCUGUUACAAAGUUAUCCUUUCAGUUCAAUGAAAAUUAUUUGUUAGUUAUUUUGGGGAAGAGUUUUUAGAACUUCUAAAAUUCUAACAGAUAGUGUGUGUGUUGUCGAAGUGAUGUGUGGUGCAGUGAGCAUUGGCUGUCUCCAGAGCCAACAAUAAAUUUAAAUUAAGAAGCAAAACAAUGUAAAUGACUUCUACUAACAGGCACUUAAAAGUUAGAAUAUGUUGUACUCAUUUAACUUGGCUCUCUAAUGAGCAAUUUUAUAUAUUUUCUUAGCACAGGUAAGAUUUACCAUGGUUUUAUAGAUGUUUUAAGGUAAACUGUAUUUCGUAAAAUAGGUGAAUAAAUUACCAUCUGGAAUAUUUAAUCUAAGACUUCUUCAGUGAAAAAAAGUGUUGAAUUUUUUGUUGGGCAAGUCGCUCAGUUUGGAGAUUUUUCUUGUAGGUGUUAGGAUGGUGAUUUUCAAAGCAUUUUGGAGAACAUGGGUCAUUUCUGUGUUUAAGGCUUCUGCCCAACUUUCCCAAUAUUUCCAUUCUUGCAUCUCUAAACCCAAACUAAAAAACUCCUUAUGUGUAUGUCUCGGCAAUGUAGUCGCACCCUCCUUGUGGGUCUAUUGGUCUGUAGAUCUUAUUCUGGAUCUACCAAUGUAGAGUUGAAUUUUAAUCUGCCGUUCCUUAAUAAAUGUUUGCCAUGUAAUUUAAAUGAAAUCGAAAGAUAGGGUAAUGACAAUUAAAAUUUCAAAUAUUCUUUCAUCUGACAUCUUCAUCUCCAGAAACGAUUGACUCUUGUUUGUUUAGCUCCUAAGCCGGUUGAAAUUUUCAUCAACUGAACAGAGAUGGCAGAAUCUGUCUCCAAAGGCAGCCAGACAUGUUAUUUAAGGGUGGUGGUGUCUCCCAGUGGGUUUCCUCCUGUGAACCUUUCUCACUCACCAGGUCUUUACUGGGCUCUGAAAUAAAUCUGUCAUGGUGAAUUUGAGUUACAGCUGAAGGACAGCAUAAUAGAUUGCUAAGGUAUAAUAAAGAGAAACACUAAGUCAAAAUAUUGUUUAGCACUCACUUAAUACUCUACAUUAGGUGAAGUCCUCCAUUGUCCCUCGCCCGCCUCUCUAUUUUGAUCUGAAAGCUCGAUUUCCAAAUUACAAAUGAGAGACAUCCGAUUCUCUUCUGUGACUAAAGCCAGGUACUACAGUAGCUUUACAGCCUUUGCAACCCAGACCGUCUCCUGUCAGCGGCAGUUAAGGAGACUUCAGCUCGGAUGUUGCCUGGAUGGCCUAAACGGGCUGUAAAUUUAGUAGUUUGAGGAGGACACAUCACGUUUUAGAACCGAAGGUGCUUCCUGUUCAACACGUUUCACCACGUUUCCUUGGGUGUCAGGAAGCUCUCAACUUUUUAGAAUUCAGCAUUUUUGUUUGUUAAUAGGAUCCUUGUGAGUUGAUCCACACACACGCCUCUAAGUUCUUGCCACCACCCCUUUACCUGGUAAAGCAGGAUCAUUUGCCCAAGUCCAAAGCUAAGACCGGUGUGGUGGCCAGAACUAGCAUUUAGACUUCUCAGAGUAAGCCCUGUCCAGAGGUCGGCUGUCUGUCUUAAGUAUAAACCUGUCACUCACAUUCAUUCAGGUCUAUGAUGUUACCAAAACCAAAACAAAACAAAACAAAAAACCCAACCUAAAAUAGAACAAGCUACACUACUCUCUUUUAAUAACAACUGGUGGUGUGAUCUGAUAAAUAAGCCAGAAUUUCCAGAAUCUCCUGCUGUAAGACAAAAAUAAUACCCCAGGACAGGAUGACUGAAAGGUGGUUCAAGGUUUGUGUUUUAAAGUGUAUGCAGUUGUGAGCUCGCUUUCCAUCCAUGCCUGAUUUAUGAUAUAACCUAUGCAACUGAUGGUCUAAAUAUCUUUGCACGUUCUUGAAGCUUAUUCUCUAGAAUUUCUGGAUAAUGAGUCUUGUAUCUGAAUGGUGCUAAGAGGCAGCCCCGGCUAAGUCUGGAACUUGAAGUUCCUGCAGGGAUGGGACAAUGGCCCCAGCAGCUCCGUAUGGCCCCAUCAGUCUCCACCCACAGGGCUCUUCUGGGCUGGGCGGCUGUGGCUCUCAGAACGGAUUUGCAUAUCUGUAGCCUCAGAGCUGUUUCCUCACUAGACUGCGGGCCCUCUGAGGCCGAGGCUGAGGCCAUUGCAGGAUCCUUUCCAUCUGAUUGUAUGAGAGUCCCCGUCAAGGAAGAGCGACUGCCCUGUGGCUGCAGAGGCAUCGUUCUUGCCUGGAUGAAACUGGCCUCUUCUCAGCCCCUGGGUUUCCGCCACCUCAGCCUGCCCGGCCUCUGAGGAGCCGCUGGACUGACCCAGUAGCCCACAGGGUACGCAAAACCAUUUCAAAUGCUCCCUUCUCCUCGACUGCAAAAUGUCAUGUUACAAACAAACCCCCACCCCUUUUUUCUUUCAAGUGUCAUUUUGUGCAGAAACUGUAUGUCCUGAGGGGAAACAGAGGAAAACAGCAAUGGCAACUUGAGAAUGGGGUGCUGGCCUCUGCCCCCAGCCUGCUCUUGAGAAAGAACCCCCUUGGCCUGGCAGCAGCCAGCAGAGGGAGGGGAGAAUGCAAUUAAAGCUGCAGGUGUCCCUUGGCUUCUCAGCCGGAAAGCUGUGUACUGCUAGGAGAUGCUCGGGUAUCAAUGCUUGAUUAUCAUUGAUGUCCUCCCAUUGGGGACAGUCACUGCAGAAACCCCAGUACUGUUUGUGAUGUCAGGGAAACAAAAGCUUGUGUGUUUAUGUUAUACUUUUCAUGUGGUUUGGGAGCAGACCAAAUGAGCAGGGUGGCUGUGACCUGUGAAAGCUGACGGGGGGCUAGGAGGCCAAGGUGUAAAAGAGACCCAGGAAGAAAAGCAACGUUGCGAAUCAUUUGUUUCCCCUCGUAUUUGGAGCUCAACUAACUAAAUGGCCAAAGACCUAUCUCCAGUGGACAUGCGCCCACCAUGCUUGUGCUUAUUUCUCUUUGACUGUUUGUAUAGCUGGUUGAUUGUCAGCUGUGGCUGCACGUAUUGAAUAAUUAAGACGAGCCUGAGCCCACAGGUCUGGGCAGAGGGCAGGUGACACGAUGGGUCCUCGGCAGCUGCAGGUAAUUUCAGCUCCUUGCACCUGACAACCUCACUUCCAGCUUAAACUCAUCUUGUUUAACUCGAAGGCAAGGCAUCUAGGCGUCUGAAUUAUUGGCCCCCUCCCAAAUAAAAAGUUUGGGACUUCAGUUAAAUGGCUCACACAGGUCAGCCCCUCCUGCACAAACACGGUCGUGAUGCCACUUCUCUUGUAGGAGCAAGAGCAGUGACUCAGACACGAUGGCCGCAGGGCAGAGAACAGCAUCCCCGCUGCCUGUGUCCACACCCCAUUUCCUCCUGGAUCUGGAUUCCCUUGCUUGUUGGGUUCAGGCAGCCAUUUCUGUGCACGGGGGAUUCCAACGUGAACCCUCCUCUUUCUCAAGGACAGAUGUCAUGGAGUCUUUUUGUAUAUGAAGGACACUUUUUAAAAGUGUCUAGAGAAAGAGAAUAAAAGGCAUCAUUCUUGUCCUUAAGCAGCCACCAAGUGGCAAAUAUUUAAUGUGCAGCUGGAGGGUGUGCUGAGGGGUGGGGGUGGGGAGGGACAAAGGGCGCAGUCAGGGUCCUUGCUCUCUGGGUCCUUACUGGGUUGCUGACGUAGUUUGUGUAAAUAACGCAUCUGCCUGCAAUUUACAGAUUUCAAAGCACACAGGCAGGCGUUGUCUCAACCGACACAACUUUGAAACCGCACGUUCGUUGUGACUUGAGAGAUGGAAGAUAGUAAAGCCAGCCGUCCCAGGGGAGCGCUUGGCUCAUUUGGGUCUUACAGGCAGGUCUUUGGACUAUAAACCCAGAGAUCUUCCUGUGGGCAACCCCUCUGGGCACAGCAUGGCAGCCCUGCCUGGUGGUGAGAGCUCAGCUCCCCUCUGAGCCCCACUGUCCCAUUUGUAAAUUUGCAGUAAAACGAAUAAU
rnacentral:lncRNA from 1 species